UUGGAGUCAUUAAAACUAGAUUACAGACACUUAGGUUGGAGUCAUUAGAACUAGUUUACAUACACUGAGGUUGGAGUCAUUAAAACUAGAUUACAGACACUUAGGUUGGAGUCAUUAGAACUAGUUGACAUACACUUAGGUUGGAGUCCA